AUGGGCCACGCUGGGGAAGCCAGCCUAGGGCCGGCCUGGGCCUGGUCAACCAAUUGGAUAAGAAGCAAGCGGCCAGGGAUAGCGAUCCCCUGCCAGCAUCCAUCCCCAAUCCCCACGACCGACGCGGGCGGCGACUGCCAUGGUCGAUCGGCCGUUUCUCCGGCAACUCGUGGAGAGACCACGACCCGGGCGAAGCGCUGCCGAGCCUCGCGUUGGAGGCCGGAGAAGGUUGCGCCAGAGGACUCCGGGGAGGGCGUGCCGGCCCGAUUGGGCACAGGCGAAGACGCCCACGGCCGGUCGGCCGCACCACCGGCGGCAAGAGGAUCUCCCGCCCCGCUCGUCCUCGGAGUAGGAGUCACCGGGGAGGUGGGUGCCGGAUACGACGCCGUUGGAAGCGCCAUUCGCGAGCCCGAGCGCCGCUGGGCUCCAUGUGUCAGCGCCGGGGCCGGGUCGCCUCUGCGCCCGUGGGGGCAAGGCCGAUGGUCGAGCAUGGGGUGUGCCAGGAGGAGCAGCGCCGGGGCCAGGACACCGUUGCGCCAGAUGCCCGUCGCUCGUGCGCCGGAUCACGCGGCCGAGGGCAGUCUCCCACCAUUGGACGCCGAUGAGGCGCCUUGCCGAUGGGGCCCGAGGGUUCGACUGCCGCCGUUCUUCGCGACGAGACUGUCCCUCAUAGAGGAAACAAAGGUAUUUAUACAGGCAGAAGGGAUGCAUCAAAGAGGCAUCCGUUCUGGAGAGAUGUCAGGAACCGACCCCACAGUUGCCAACGCAAACUGGCUGCGGUUGGUACAAGGGGAGAUUCCCCCAUAA
rnacentral:rRNA from 1 species